UACGUAGGGUGCGAGCGUUAAUCGGAAUUACUGGGCGUAAAGCGUGCGCAGGCGGAUUGUUAAGCAAGACGUGAAAUCCCCGGGCUUAACCUGGGAAUGGCGUUUUGAACUGGCAGUCUAGAGUGUGUCAGAGGGGGGUGGAAUUCCACGUGUAGCAGUGAAAUGCGUAGAUAUGUGGAGGAACACCAAUGGCGAAGGCAGCCCCCUGGGAUAACACUGACGCUCAUGUACGAAAGCGUGGGUAGCAAACAGG
rnacentral:rRNA from 1 species